CUCUCUCGGCAAGGACGAUGCUCCGACAGCCCUACAGGACCCGCAAGACCAGCACCUCCCAAGUCCCACAAUUAUUUUGUCCCCCCACCUCAAGAAGAUCCAGUUCCCCGGUACCCGCUCCGGGACAACUUGUGAGUCCAAGUUCUCGCUGGUGAAUUCAAUCCUUCCAACGAUUCGCAAUGAGAUGACCCCUAAUCCCUAUGCAAAUCUGAUUCUACUACACACAUCUCUUCUACUCGGCACCCCCACAGCCUUGCGGGAUCAAGGUUCGGAAAGCAAGGCUCCAGGAUAGACAUCCACAACUACUACAACAUCCAAGAGAACAAGUUCUCGUAACUCCUAUAAGGAGGCAGAAGCAAAUGGAACUCUACCUAGUUGUAAGCCAGCUUCCUUGGUCUAGACUUCCAGCCCAUCCAAGACUACAUAAGAGAUGUGGCCUCAAAGAAAGAAAGGAGAACGAGUUGGAGAAAAGCUGUCACGACCCUCCAAAAUCAAUAUAUUUACAGCUUCCUGAGAGGACGGCGAUGCUAAAGACUGUGUCAUUGGGGUGAGAUGGCUUAACAGGUAAAGGCGCUUUUGCCAAGUUUGAAGACUUUGAGUUGAACCCCAGGGACCCAUGUGGUGGAAGGAGAGAGCUCCUGCAUGUUGUCCUCUGACUUCCACACCUGUGCCAAGUCAUCCAUGCAGCCCACACACCUAGGCACACACUCAGAAUAAACACAAAUACAAUUUA